rnacentral:rRNA from 1 species
CGGGGGGGGCAAGCGUUGUUCGGAAUUACUGGGCGUAAAGGGUUAGUAGGUGGCCGGCUAAGUCAGACGUGAAAUCCCUCAGCUUAACUGGGGAACUGCGUCUGAGACUGAUCGGCUUGAGGACAGGAGAGGAACGCGGAAUUCCAGGUGUAGCGGUGAAAUGCGUAGAUAUCUGGAGGAACACCGGUGGCGAAGGCGGCGUUCUGGACUGUUUCUGACACUGAAUAACGAAAGCCAGGGGAGCAAACGGGAUUAGAUACCCCGGUAGUCUGGCCCUAAACGAUGAAUGCUUGGUGUGGCGGGUAUCGAUCCCUGCCGUGCCGCAGUUAACGCGUUAAGCAUUCCGCCUGGGGAGUACGGUCGCAAGGCUG